UCAAUCAUUCAAGGGAAUAAAACAGCAUAAGAGAAACCAGAGCAAAAGAAAAAAGAUCUAGUAAUGAUGUCUUCUGAUUACUCACCUUCUUCAUCUCACCAAGAACAUUUCAUCAACAGCUUCCUCUCAAGAAAAUUGCUUCAGCAACUUCCUUUUCAUCACAACAUACAGCAACAACAACAAGCUCAAGGACAAGACAAGAGCAACUUGAGCGGCAACAUUCUCCUGCUUCUCUCUAUCCUUGUCUGCGGUAUCAUCUGCUCACUAGGGUUGCAUUACAUAAUCCGUUGCGCCUUUAGACGUUCCUCGAGUUUCCUGAUCUCUGAUCCCAUCUCAAUCCCGUCCACACCACGAGGCUCAGCAGCAGCAAACAAAGGCAUCAAGAAGAAAGUUCUCAAGAUGUUCCCGGUAUUGACUUACUCACCUGAGAUGAACUUGUCAGGGGUCGGCGAAGAGUGUGUUAUUUGCUUGUCUGAUUUUGUAGCUGGAGAACAGAUACGGCUACUUCCUAAGUGCAACCAUGGGUUCCACGUUCGUUGUAUCGACAAGUGGCUUACGCAACAGAUGACUUGUCCGAAAUGUAGACACUGUCUGGUUGAUACAUGUCAAAAGAUCUUAGGAGACUGUGACGAAGCUGAUGAAGUUGCAGAAACAACAACGGAGAGUAUAGAUGUUAUAAUUGCUCCUACAGAACCUGAAGAAAGAGUCAACAGCUAGAGAGUAUGUGCCAAUAAACAACUAGAUUUUCAAGAUUUUAGUUCUUCCACAUAUGGUUAUGCAACUUAGUCUACGUGACAUGCAAAAUAUUUCCCUUGAUGCACCAAGUAGUCAAGUACUGGAGAGAUGAAUCUAUAUCUCAUAUCUCUCUCAUCAGUCACUCAUUUGAAUAAUCAAAGAGGCAAAUAAAAUUUGAGACAAGCAGGGUUAGAAAGCUAAUUAAGUAUCCCACUUGUGUUUUCUUAGGGAGUGCUCUAUCCAUGUCCACAACCACAUAUUUGAUAUUUCAGUUGUAUCUAUCUCCAAGUCUCUGUCUAGAAUUGAAUAUUCAACAUAUCAUAUGUACACACUAAAGCCUCUUUUUUAGUUAGAAAAAUAUGAAUACUCACUCUAAGAUUACUAUGUUGAUUAAGAGGUAUAUUUAUUUACAUAUGAUCAUUCUGAUCUUGACAUUUAUAAGAUUUAAAUAGUUAAAUAUUAAUGAUCAAUACAUAUAUUUUUGAUUAUUUUUUAAAAUAAAUGAUAUAUGCAUAUUAAAUUUUGGAGUGGAAAUGAAUUCAAUCAAAGUUGAUAAAGCUUCUAAAUAUGAUUAUCAGUCAAAGUUGGUGAAGCUUCUAACUUCCUAAUACCGCAAAUGAAUUAUUGUAUCAAAUAUCGAUUUUCAUAUUAUUAUUUUGGAUCAAAUAUCGAUUUUCUUAUAUUUCAAUCAUGUUAUGGAUGGUGAUAAUCGAAUAUACGUUCGACAUAUCAAUAGGACCGAUGACUCUCUGGAGGUUGGAGAAUUAAGUUUGAGUUUACAUAACUACAUAAAACAUGAAAUGAAAACAUUCAUUAAAAGCAACUAAACAUGGCACCAUAGAUUAAGGUUAGGGAAGAUUGUGACGACGCAAAAGACAAAACCAAAAUCCAGACGAUAACGUUUGUGGAGUAGAAUCGAAAAGGGGCUAUAGAGCAGAUUACAUCUGUUUUGUUUCCUUGGCUUUUUGGAAAACGAAUAAAUAUUAAUACAGCUUGAGCUAAAUAAUUUAGCUAAAGUUUCAAAUAUAUGCAGACAAGUUUAUCGUUUAGAUCUUGGAAAAUCAUUACACUAUCAAAAAACGAUUUUGCAUAUAUUACCUGUAAAGAGUAAAGAGAUAUUUUUAACAAAAAAAAGAGUAAAGAGAUAUGAAAUAAAAAGAACAAUUGUCUAAACAACCAACAUAUAUCUAUCUUUUUAUCGUCCACUAUAUAGUAAUUUCACUGACCUUUACUCGCAAUCAUUUCCAAAUCAGGAAAUUUACUCAAGAAAGUAAAAUAUGACAAGAAAAAUAAAUAAACUUUCUAUUAUUUACAAAGUAUUUUGUAUUUUGAUAUUUUAAAUAAAUAAAGAGAAUUAUGAAGCGACAUAACACAUGGAAAGAGAAGCACAAUAAUUCAGAGAAUUUAUAAAAGCAACAAAACCCAACACUUCCUUACAACUUUCCACACCAUCAUAAUAGAGAUACAACAACUUCUCUUGAUUAAUGCAAGAAUUAUAUAAUAAUAGAUAUCAAUUGUUGUAUUUCUAAAACUAAAUGAUUGUCCCUACAAAAGCAUUUUGUAAUUGGAAAAGAUAUGGAUGGAGGCACAAUCUGUACACAUGGGGACUCAUGAAAAAAGGAUAAGCUCUUUCUGGGUCCCAAAGUCCUCAUCUCAUUUCAAGAGAUAGAGAAGGAACUUUCCAUAACCAACAAUUAAUUAUCUCUAAAAUAUAUAAUUCCUGUAGUCCUCCACUAUCUAAGUAUCAUUAAAGCUAUAUAUAAACAACAAUUUCAAUCAUUCAAGGGAAUAAAACAGCAUAAGAGAAACCAGAGCAAAAGAAAAAAGAUCUAGUAAUGAUGUCUUCUGAUUACUCACCUUCUUCAUCUCACCAAGAACAUUUCAUCAACAGCUUCCUCUCAAGAAAAUUGCUUCAGCAACUUCCUUUUCAUCACAACAUACAGCAACAACAACAAGCUCAAGGACAAGACAAGAGCAACUUG
rnacentral:lncRNA from 1 species